UACGUAGGGGGCGAGCGUUGUUCGGAAUCAUUGGGCGUAAAGCGCGUGUAGGCGGCUCGAUAAGUCCGGUGUGAAACCUUGGGGCUCAACCCCAAGCCUGCACUGGAUACUGCCGAGCUAGAGUCCGGGAGGGGAGAGCGGAAUUCCUAGUGUAGCGGUGAAAUGCGCAGAUAUUAGGAAGAACACCGGUGGCGAAGGCGGCUCUCUGGAACGGUACUGACGCUGAGACGCGAAAGCGUGGGGAGCGAACAGG
rnacentral:rRNA from 1 species